rnacentral:rRNA from 1 species
CUACGGGGGGCUCCAGUGAGGAAUUUUGCGCAAUGGGGGAAACCCUGACGCAGCAACGCCGCGUGAGUGAUGAAGGUUUUCGGGUCGUAAAGCUCUGUCAAGUGGGAAGAAUUUGCUCGAUGUUAACACCAUCUAGUACUGACGGUACCACUAAAGGAAGCACCGGCUAACUCCGUGCCAGCAGCCGCGGUAAUACGGGGGGUGCAAGCGUUAUUCGGAAUUAUUGGGCGUAAAGGGCGCGUAGGCGGUCUCUAAAGUCAGAUGUGAAAGCCCGGGGCUUAACCCCGGAAGUGCAUUUGAAACUCAGGGACUUGAGUAUGGGAGAGGGAAGUGGAAUUCCUGGUGUAGCGGUGAAAUGCGUAGAUAUCAGGAGGAACACCAGUGGCGAAGGCGACUUCCUGGACCAAUACUGACGCUGAGGCGCGAAGGCGUGGGGAGCAAACAGGAUUAGAUACCCCCGUAGUC